rnacentral:ncRNA from 1 species
UAAACGGUCCUUUUCAGGACCAUCAAUAUUUUAUUGAAAGAUUCU